GACGAACGCUGGCGGCGUGCCUAAUACAUGCAAGUAGAACGCUGAAGAGAGGAGCUUGCUCUUCUUGGAUGAGUUGCGAACGGGUGAGUAACGCGUAGGUAACCUGCCUUGUAGCGGGGGAUAACUAUUGGAAACGAUAGCUAAUACCGCAUAACAAUGGAUGACACAUGUCAUUUAUUUGAAAGGGGCAAUUGCUCCACUACAAGAUGGACCUGCGUUGUAUUAGUUAGUAGGUGAGGUAAUGGCUCACCUAGGCGACGAUACAUAGCCGACCUGAGAGGGUGAUCGGCCACACUGGGACUGAGACACGGCCCAGACUCCUACGGGAGGCAGCAGUAGGGAAUCUUCGGCAAGGGGGGCAACCCUGACCGAGCAACGCCGCGUGAGUGAAGAAGGUUUUCGGAUCGUAAAGCUCUGUUGUAAGUCAAGAACGGGUGUGAGAGUGGAAAGUUCACACUGUGACGGUAGCUUACCAGAAAGGGACGGCUAACUACGUG
rnacentral:rRNA from 1 species